rnacentral:rRNA from 1 species
AACGAACGCUGGCGGCAUGCCUAACACAUGCAAGUCGAACGAAGGCUUCGGCCUUAGUGGCGCACGGGUGCGUAACGCGUGGGAAUCUGCCCCCCGGUUCGGAAUAACAGUUAGAAAUGACUGCUAAUACCGGAUGAUGACUUCGGUCCAAAGAUUUAUCGCCGAGGGAUGAGCCCGCGUAAGAUUAGGUAGUUGGUGGGGUAAAGGCCUACCAAGCCGACGAUCUUUAGCUGGUCUGAGAGGAUGAUCAGCCACACUGGGACGAAGACACCGCCCAGACUCCUACGGGAGGCAGCAGUGGAGAAUAUUGGACAAUGGGCGAAAGCCUGAUCCAGCAAUGCCGCGUAAGUGAUGAAGGCCUUAGGGUUGUAAAGCUCUUUUACCAGGGAUGAUAAUGACAGUACCUGGAGAAUGAGCUCCGGCUAACUCCGUGCCAGCCGCCGCGGUAA